UAACACUAAACAAACUCCAGUUUUACUUAAAAACCCUAGCACAAAACCCUCCCUCCUCUCUCUCUCUCUCUCUCUCUUUUGCUUCAUGAAGAGAACAAACUCCGGCCUUUUGCCUUCAACAAUGUCGAUCCCUAUUUUUUAAACUUGUAAGAAGAAAAAGAGGACGCCGAAGAUAAUCGGGUUUCACAACUUUGCAGAACCCGGGUUCCUCCCCCCCCCCAAUAAGCCUCACGUGUCCUUUUCGCAGGAAUGUCCGCAUUUUCCUUGAGUAAUGUGCUGCGCUUCAAAAUUACUUUGUUGUUCCUCUGUACGCGGUCGUAGAGAAAGUCGAGUGUUCGAAGAACCCCUGUUGCGAUUACUGCAGAUUCAUUCGGUGUGAGCAAUUAUUGUCUAAACGGAAGUACCAUCUGAUAAUUCCUUCUGAUACUGAAUGGAACUUGCGUCUUGAGAUUGCUGCUUUAGGUCUCCGCACACACCUCUCGCAUGUAGUGAUCCACUGUAACGGAUUUGGUCCUCUAAUCUGCAUAAACGGGAUUGAAGGAGGAUCCCAAUUUGCUUCUGGCGGAAAAAUCAUGGAUCUUUGGGAUAGUAUUUGCGAAAAUAUCCUUCGACCCCCCGAAAAAUCACUGUUGAGGAUUUGUCAAAGAAAGCGGUGUAUGGAUCUUCGGCUACUUCAUGGAAUUGCUUAUGGGCAUUCAUGGUUUGGGAGGUGGGGUUAUAAGUUCUUCCGUGGAAGUUAUGGGGGGGAUGACACAACACAAUUACAGGACAGCAACUGAAAUUCUGACUUCUUUGGAAGUUGAUAAACUUGUAUCAGCAUUUCAAUAGCUUCCUUUAGCUUUGACAAUGUUUUCCAAACCCGUCGGAGAAAAUCAAGCCAUGCAUUAAAAUGAAAAAGGGUAUCUGGAUUUUCAAAAUCUAACCACUGAAUCUGCAGUGACCGCAGCGAGGGUUCUUGGACCCGCUAACUUUCUCGACGACCGUGUACAGAGGAAUAACCACGUUCUUGGUCUUGUGAACAAGACGAGUACACCAGACGGAUAUUCCUUGUACGUAGUAAUUUUGAAGCUCAGCACAUUUCUCAAAGAAAAUCCGCACAUCGUUCCGGAAAGAAAACCCGUGAGGCUCAUUGGGUACCCGAGUCCUAAAAACUUGUGAAACCCAAAUAUCUUCGGCCUCCUCUUUUCCUUCCUACAAGUUUCAAAAAUAGGAAUCGACAUUGUUGAAGGCAAAGUACUGGAGCUUUUCCUUUCUCCUCCAAUGGCGUAAUUGUUGAAUUCGAUUCACGAAGAGAGAGGAGGAGAGAAGGGGUUUUGUGUUGGGGUUUUUAACUAACUGGAAUUUUGUGCUGGGUAUUUUGUGGCUUAUUCUGUUCUCUAAGUUGUCUGUGGUUUAUUAUUUCUAGCCAUGCUGAUGCUAUAUUGUUUUACAAUGAGAAUAAUUGUUGGAAGCGACAUAUGAAAUGCAUGCAGAAAUUGGGUGCA